UUGAGGCACCUGCACUUAUGUGCACAAAUACACAAUUAAAAAUAAUUUUUAGAGUGUCCAUGUACUUUUUUUUAAAGAUAUUUAGGUGAAUUGUAUUCGACAUCUGCAAUUGCUCUUUCAUUUCUUUUUCUUUUUUAAAUGUAAAACUUUUUUAUUAGAUAUUUUCUUCAUUUACAUUUCAAAUGCUACCCUAUACCCUCCCCCUGCUCCCCAACCCACCCACUCCCGCAUCCUGGCCCUGGCGUUGCCCUGUACUGGGGCAUAUAAUCUUCACAAGACCAAGGGGCCUCUCCUCCCAUUUAUGCUCCACUAGGCCAUCCUCUGCUACAUAUGCAGCUAGAGACACGAGCUCUUGGGGUACUGGUUAGUUCAUAAUGUUGUUCCUCCUAUAGGGUUGCAGACCCCUUCAGCUCCUUAGAUGCUUUCUCUAGCUCCCCCAUUGGGGGCCCUGUGCUCCAUCCAAUAGCUGACUGUGAGCAUCCACUUCUGUAUUUUCCAGGCACUGGCAUAGCCUCAAAAGAGAGAGCUAUGUCAGGGUCCUGUCAGUUAAAUCUUGCUGGCUUUUGCAAUAGUGUCUGGGUUUGGUGGUUGUUUAUGGGAUGGAUCCCCAGGUGGGGCAGUCUCUGGAUGGUCCUUCCUUCUGUCUCAAAAAUAUGGAACGCUUCAAGAAUUUGCGCGUCAUCCUUGCACAGGGCCCAUGCUAAUCUUCUCUGUAUCGUUCCAAUUUUUGUAUAUGUGCUGCCGAAGCGAGCACGUCCAUGUACUUUUCUAGAGGAGCCAUAGAAUAAGUAACAACAUAGUAGGACUAUUUCACAAGGUAAACAGAUACAGCUAUAGCACAUUUAUAAAAUAAAAUAAAUGAGUACUUUCAGUACUUUCCAUAAAAAAAUCGCCAUUGUUGCUUCUGCUUCUCCUCUUUUAUUUUUUUUUUUGGAGACAAGAUUUCUCUGUGUAGCCCUGACUGUCCUAGAACUUUCUCUGUAGACCAGACUUCAAACUCAGAGAUCUGCCUGCCUUUCCCUUGGAGUACUGGGAUUAAACGUAUAUACCCCUGCCUGCCUGCAUUUAUUUUUGACUAUGAAGUUAAAACAUCUUUUAAUUUUCCUUCUUGUAUUGAAGAAGUACAGGCUUCAUUCAUACUUGAGGCAAGUACACUUAAUACUGACUUGCAUUCUCAGCCCCAUUCUUUACUUACUUUGAGAUAGGGUCUUACUGAGUUGACCAAGCUGUUCUUGCUUGCAGUCCUCUGACUCUCAAGUCGUAGCUGGUCUUCGUCAUCAGUUGGGGAUUUAAAAAAAAAAUAUGUCUUUGCAUGUCACAAAUACAUUUGGGCAACAUCAAAGUAUAUAAGGCUGAAAGAUCAGCUGGCUUCCUCUAAGGUAGAGAUUCUGGUAACUACUUGGUAUAUAGCAUACAGGCUUUAUAUCAUUUAUUAUUUAGCAUAUAAAUGUAAUAUAUGUGCUCUUAUGUGGUGUAACUUUGGUCUUCAUGUGUAGCACAGAGUGUUCUUGUUUUUUGCUGUUAAAGACAAGAGUACUCUAGUAAUUUCAUAUAUUCAUACCUUUGAAUGUUUUUCAUGUUGUAUAUUAAAAUCAUUU
rnacentral:lncRNA from 1 species